CUCCCCUCCCCCAGUGCUUACCCUCCCUCCCAGUCAAGCUACAUCAGCCUGUGCUUUUCCCCAACCGACCAACAUCUAGCCAGCAGCACAAAGCAGAACUGGAACCAGCAGCAGGAAGGAGAAGACAGGCAGAUAUGAGUCUACCAUGGAGAAAAGCCUUGGAUGGAUCAAGAAACCUGCUCCUCACGCCACAAUGAUCUCAUGGAUGACUGGACUUCUGGAGACACCUCUUAGGAAAGAAGAUCCAACCCUCUGCUGGUUGAUACUUUAUUGAGGCCAGGAGUUGAAGGUCAAGGCUGUGUAGAAGGAGCCAGACACAGAGCCCUGCUUCAGGCAAAUGCCCACUGGGGUUCUUUCUGAUUGUAAAGGGGGUGAGGGGUGAAGGAGAGCUUGAGGUUUUUUUGGCCACAGAGGGAAGGAGCCCCCCAGGGCUGCACUGAAUCUGUGGGAUUUGGGGGAGGGGACAGAGCAAGGACCAAUUUGAAAGAACAAUAAGAGCCUCCUCAUAAUGGUGGAGAGGAAGGAGGGAGAGAAAGAGAUGGGGGUGGGGGCCUAGAGAGGUGGAUUUUUACCCCCUCCCCCACUAACUUUCAAUACAAUUCCGAAGAUGGAAUCUUUCUGCAUUUUUGGGGCUCCUCUGGAGUUGUGAAAUCAGAGUACCCCUUCAUGUAUUGCACCCCAUCUUUUCUUAACCCCCCCCCUGGGGCAAAGGAGCUCAAUAUCACAGUGCAGGGUGGAGUCAGACGCCAGCUAACCUGGAGCCCAAUCAAUGAGACGAGAUUGGAGGUGUUGGUCAGAGCUGUCCUGCCCUAUAACGAACGCUCACAAAGCUUGAGUUUUGCUAUUCACAAGAAGCGUUGCCUUAUGUGAACCAUGCCUCGAGCAAAAGAGAUCUCCGAAGACCUAAAAUUAAAAAUUGUUAGCUUGCAUAAAGCUGGAAAGGGUUACAAAACUAUCUCCAAAAGCCUCGAUCUUCAUCUGUCCACGGUGAGACAAAUUAUUUAUAAAUGGAGACAGUUUGGCACGGUUGCUACUCUCCCUAGGAGUGGGCGUCCUGCAAAGAUUACUGCAAGAGCACAGCGCAGAAUCAUCAAGGAGGUCAAGAAGAAUCCUAGAGUCUCGGCUAAAGAUUUACAGAAGUCUCUGGAAAACGCCAACAUCUUUGUUCACGACUCGACCAUACGUAAAACAAUGAACAAGAACGGUGUUCGCGAGAGAGCGACGCGGCGACUGCUGCCCAAAACAAAACACUGCUGCACGGUCGAAGUUCGAAAAAGAGAACCUGAAUGUUCCACGGAGGUCCCGGCGUAAUAUUACGUCGACACAUUAAACCAAACUACAGUUGUUUGUAAGGAGUGCAGAAUUCUAUGAUAAA